AAGGUAGCAUAAUAAUUUGUUUUUUAAUUGAAGGCUGGCAUGAAAGGCUUAAUAGUAAAAUAUUUUUGAGGGCUAUAGAUUGAAAUUGAAGUUUGAGUAAAAAUGCUUUGAUUUAUACAAAAGACGAUAAGACCCUAAAAGCUUUAUUUUAAAGUUUUGAGACAGCGAUUAAUAUUUUUGUUUUUCUUAUUUUAUAUUUUUAACUGGGGUAGUUUCUUUGUUUUUAUAAAAUAAAAUUAGGCUUGUCAGGUUUUGUUUUCCUUAAGAUUAGGGGGCUUGUUUUAGUUACUUUAGGGAUAACAGCAUAAUGUUUUUAGAGAGCCCAGAUCGAUAAAAAAGUUUGUGACCUCGAUGUUGAAUUAAAAAGUCUAGCUAGGGCAGUACUUAGUUAAGAUGGUUUGUUCAACCAUUAAAAUUUUACAUGAUCUGAGUUCAAACCGG
rnacentral:rRNA from 1 species